CAAGAGCGUAUGUAAAAGUUGUUGCAGUUAAAAAGCUCGUAGUUGAACCUUGGGUUUGGUUGGCCGGUCCGCUUUUUUGCGAGUACUGGAUUCAACCGAGCCUUUCCUUCUGGCUAACCAGUUGUUUCGGCGGCUGGCGAACCAGGAUUUUUACUUUGAGAAAAUUAGAGUGUUCAAAGCAGGCAUUAGCUUGAAUAUAUUAGCAUGGAAUAAUAGAAUAGGACGUUAUGGUUCUAUUUUGUUGGUUUCUAGGACCAUCGUAAUGAUUAAUAGGGACGGUCGGGGGCAUCAGUAUUCAGUUGUCAGAGGUGAAAUUCUUGGAUUUACUGAAGACUAACUACUGCGAAAGCAUUUGCCAAGGACGUUUUCAUUAA
rnacentral:rRNA from 1 species